rnacentral:tRNA from 1 species
GAUAAGGUGGCUGAAAUUAGGCAAUAAAUUGUAAAUUUAUUUAUGGGGGAGCCCUCUUAUCA